rnacentral:rRNA from 1 species
AUGAACGCUAGCGGCAGGCUUAAUACAUGCAAGUCGAGGGGCAUCAAGGUACACGAAAGUGUAUUGUUGGCGACCGGCGGACGGGUGAGUAAUAGGUAGGUAACCUACCUCAUACUGAGGCAUAGCUGGGAGAAAUUCCAGGUAAUUCCUCAUGAGGUUAUAUGACACAUGUGAUAUAAUCAAAGGUAUCGCAAGGUACUGGUAUGAGAUGGGCUUACUGACCAUUAGCUAGUUGGUGAGAUAAGAGCUCACCAAGGCGAAGAUGGUUAGGGGUUUUGAGAGAGAGAUCCCCCACAUUGGAACUGAGAUACGGUCCAGACUCCUACGGGAGGCAGCAGUAGGGAAUAUUGGGCAAUGGGCGGAAGCCUGACCCAGCCAUGCCGCGUGAAGGAAGACGGCCUUAUGGGUUGUAAACUGCUUUUGUACAGAACGAAAAAGUCUUUAAUAACACUAGAGGCUCAUGACGGUACUGUAAGAAUAAGCACCGGCUAACUACGUG